CGGAACGGGUGAGUAACGCGUGAGGAACCUGCCUCAAAGAGGGGGACAACAGUUGGAAACGACUGCUAAUACCGCAUAAGCCCACGGCUCGGCAUCGAGCAGGGGGAAAAGGAGUGAUCCGCUUUGAGAUGGCCUCGCGUCCGAUUAGCUGGUUGGUGAGGUAACGGCCCACCAAGGCGACGAUCGGUAGCCGGACUGAGAGGUUGAACGGCCACAUUGGGACUGAGACACGGCCCAG
rnacentral:rRNA from 1 species